UAGGGAAUCUUCCGCAAUGGACGCAAGUCUGACGGAGCAACGCCGCGUGAGUGAAGAAGGAUUUCGGUUCGUAAAACUCUGUUGUUAGAGAAGAACAGCGCAUAGAGUAACUGUUAUGCGUGUGACGGUAUCUAACCAGAAAGCCACGGCUAACUACGUGCCAGCAGCCGCGGUAAUACGUAGGUGGCAAGCGUUGUCCGGAUUUAUUGGGCGUAAAGCGAGCGCAGGCGGUUAGAUAAGUCUGAAGUUAAAGGCAGUGGCUCAACCAUUGUAGGCUUUGGAAACUGUUUAACUUGAGUGCAGAAGGGGAGCGUGGAAUUCAAUGUGUAACGGUGAAAUGCGUAGAUAUAUGGAGGACCACCGGUGGCGAAAGCGGCUCUCUGGUCUGUAACUGACGCUGAGGCUCGAAAGCGUGGGGAGCGAACAGG
rnacentral:rRNA from 1 species